GAUGAACGCUGGCGGCGUGCCUAACACAUGCAAGUCGAGCGAUCUUCUUCGGAAGAGAGCGGCGGACGGGUGAGUAACGCGUGGGUAACCUGCCCUGUACACACGGAUAACAUACCGAAAGGCAUGCUAAUACGGGAUAAUAUAUGAGAGUCACAUGACUUUUAUAUCAAAGUUUUUGCGGUACAGGAUGGACCCGCGUCUGAUUAGCUAGUUGGUAAGGUAACGGCUUACCAAGGCGACGAUCAGUAGCCGACCUGAGAGGGUGAUCGGCCACACUGGAACUGAGACACGGUCCAGACUCCUACGGGAGGCAGCAGUGGGGAAUAUUGCACAAUGGGCGAAAGCCUGAUGCAGCAACGCCGCGUGAGCGAUGAAGGCCUUCGGGUCGUAAAGCUCUGUCCUCAAGGAAGAUAAUGACGGUACUUGAGGAGGAAGCCCCGGCUAACUACGUGCCAGCCGCCGCGGUAA
rnacentral:rRNA from 1 species